rnacentral:rRNA from 1 species
ACUAACAAGGAUUCCCCUAGUAACUGCGAGUGAAGCGGGAAAAGCUCAAAUUUUACCUCUGGCGGUCCUUUGCGGCCGUCCGAGUUGUAAUCUAGAGAAGUGCUUACCCGCGCUGGACCGUGUACAAGUCUCCUGGAAUGGAGCGUCAUAGAGGGUGAGAAUCCCGUCUUCGACACGGACUGCCAGGGCUUAUGUGGUGCGCUCUCGAAGAGUCGAGUUGUUUGGGAAUGCAGCUCUAAAUGGGUGGUAAAUUCCAUCUAAAGCUAAAUACAGGCGAGAGACCGAUAGCGAACAAGUACCGUGAGGGAAAGAUGAAAAGAACUUUGGAAAGAGAGUUAAACAGUACGUGAAAUUGCUGAAAGGGAAACGUUUGAAGUCAGUCGCGUUGGCUGGGGAUCAACCUUGCUCUUGCAGGGCGCACUCUCUGGUUUCGACGGGUCAGCAUCAGUUUUGGUCGCUGGAGAAAGGCUAGGGGAAUGUGGCAUCGCUUCGGUGAUGUGUUAUAGCCCUUGGUUGUAUGCAGCGGUUGGGACUGAGGAACUCAGCGCGCGCCUCUUCACGGGGGUGCCGGGUCUUUCGAGACCACGCUUACGCGCUUAGGAUGCUGGCAUAAUGGCUUUAAGCGACCCGUCUUGAAACACGGACCAAGGAGUCUAACAUGCUUGCGAGUGUUUGGGUGGAAAACCCGAGCGCGUAAUGAAAGUGAAAGUUGGGAACCCUGUCGUGGGGUGCACCGACGCCCGGACCAGACCUUCUUGUGACGGCUCCGCGGUAGAGCAGGCAUGUUGGGACCCGAAAGAUGGUGAACUAUGCCUGAAUAGGGUGAAGCCAGAGGAAACUCUGGUGGAGGCUCGUAGCGAUUCUGACGUGCAAAUCGAUCGUCAAAUUUGGGUAUAGGG